rnacentral:lncRNA from 1 species
AUGAGUUAGGAGGUCUCUAUGCCAUGCAGAUUGCCCUCAAAGCAACCUGCAAAAAAACUACAAAGGCCAGUGUGCCAUCUACUGGAGGGGUGAAGAAACUUCACCGUUAACAGGCUGGAUACCAAGGCGCUUGGUGAAAUUAGAUGUUAUCAGAAGUCCACUGAAUGCCUAAUCCAUAAACUUUUCUCCUAGCAUCUGGUGCAAGAAACUGCUAAGGACUUCAAAACAGAUCAACACAUCCAGAGCACAGCUGCUGGUGCUUUGCAGGAGAAAAGUGACGUCUAUCAGGUUGGCCUCUCUGGAGACACCGAGCUGUGUGCAAUCCAGGCCAAAUGUGUAACAAUUAUGCCAAAAGACAUCCAUGCUGCAUUCAUGGAGAACUUGCUUGA